rnacentral:tRNA from 1 species
GGAUAUAGCUCAAGUGGUAGAGCACAUGCUUAGCAUGCACCAGGGUCCUGGGUUCAAUCCCCAGUACCUCCU